GGGAUCUACCAUAGGGUGCGGAAUAACUCAGAGAAAUUUNAGGUAAUACCGCAUAAUGCCUUCGGNCCAAAGAUUUAUCGCCCUUUGAUGAACCCGCGUAAGAUUAGNUUGUUGGUGAGGUAAAGGCUCACCAAGUCGACGAUCUUUAGCUGGUUUGAGAGGAUGAUCAGCCACACUGGGACUGAGACACGGCCCAGACUCCUACGGGAGGCAGCAGUGGGGAAUAUUGGACAAUGGGCGNAAGCCUGAUCCAGCNAUGCCGCGUGAGUGAUGAAGGUCCUUAGGGUUGUAAAGCUCUUUUACCAGGGAUGAUAAUG
rnacentral:rRNA from 1 species